GUCCCAGGAAUGGAAGGGUCGGUGCAGGUUUCUUUCACUUUCUUCUGACUGGCUCUGCUUCUCCUUUUUCUCUUGGUAGCCUCCAGCUCCCAUGUUCAGCUACUCGAUCACGACCAAAGAUUGUGAGUGGGAGACGCAAGCUCAGUCACAGUGGCUGAAGAGCAUCUUGGAGGAUAAGACUGGGUGUGGUCCCUUCCCUUCUGAGAAAGAACAGGAUCAGAAGCACAAGAAAGAUGUGACCUUGCUGGCAGUCCAGCUCAGCAGUUUGCAGGUAGGCAGCAGAGUUCAGAGACAAGGCGUUUCUGGCAGAAGUUUUCCCAAACCAUGGGAAUGCCAGGUAAAAAUACCUUACUGGUCCUGCCUCCCAAGGAACUCAGCCCGGGAAGUCCUGUUGAAGCACCCAGUGUUCUGUUGGCCUGGCCCUCCACAGCUUAGGGCACACAGAGAAGCAGUCUCUGGUAGUAGCCACCCUGAUGAGGUCUUUUUCCAUUGGUGCAGGAUCAAGGACUCCAGGAGCCUGACGGAAAAUGCAGGUGUAUAGAUAACCACAUCGGCAGGAAGUAGCCUACAUCCCUUGCCCCCACCCUGGGCCCCUUACCUGGAUGUAGACUUCGGCAGGAAGCUGACUACAGCAGAUCUCUGGCUUCAGCCUGCAGGGAGGAAGGGGCAGCCCUGGAGACCACUGCCCUCUCCUGGAGGAAGCAGAGCCUCGGGCUUUUUGCAGGAGGGGAGGCAGGAUGCGGCAGAGCAGAGCCUGAUUGAUACCUUUCUUUACUUGAAUGGUUCCACUGGUGAGGCUGGACAGAAUCAAGAAACAUCUGGACCACCAGCUGAAAAGAUGGUGGCAUGAGAGGUGGGACAGAGGCUUCCUCCAAAACCACAUAUAAUAUGAAAAUAUAACUAAUACAACUAAUCCUGAAAGAGCAAUGGGAAAGGGGACCAUGCCAAACUGCAUACACCUGAAGAAAAGAAUAAAUCUCACAGAACAGGGUAACGUGCCAAAGCCGUGGCCCGGCAGGAUGCAGGCCCUUCCCCCACCCACCUCUCCAGGAAGAGGAAAAGAAACGGAGCAGGGAGGGAGUAGAGGCCUGGGACUUCUGAACAUCUAAGUCCAGAGAUCUGCUGUGGGAGCACAAACCUACAUUUCAUGGUGUUUUCAUGGUACUCUUGUGAUUAGGGGAUUGGAAAGCUAAGACAGGCAGAAUUCCUGGAGAGACUGAGAUUCCAGCCACUUGUGGAAAGCAGGGAUCCAUAUCCAGCUUCUCUGGGACAAAAGAAAGGUGGGCAGUCUGAGGGACUUCCUAGCAGCAAGAGGGUUGCUAAAGGACCAAGGAUUGCACAGAGCUUACUGCUCAGGAGAAAGGACAGGUAGACAAAAUUGUCUGGGGUCACUCUGCCCAGCAGGUUUGAACUUUCACAAUCUUCAGGAACUCCAGCUCUCUGGCUGGCUGCACAGCUCCAAGGACCCCCUCUGUGAUAUGCAGCCCACUGCGCCUCUCUCCCGGCCAGCCCCACCUGACUCUGAAACCAGCAAACCAAACCCUGGCAUUAGGCCUACGAGAGGGAAGUCCUGUCUACAGCAACUACAAACGCAAAGCAUAGAGGCUUAUACCUGUGUGCUCAGCACUGGUUCAGGCAGUGGAGACAGGCAUAGCAGCUGGGAAGCAGGAAACAGCUCUUUCCUCCCCCCAGGCACCAACACUGCUCCCCUGCGACCCCCAACAUUGCUUCUGGAACUGAGCAGCUCCAGAGAGUAGAGCUUCUGGGUACUAGAGGGUGCCAUAUACAAAUAUGAAACACCAAAGGAACCUGGUUUAGAGUAAAAUUAUGAAUAUUAAUACAACUCCUAAGGAAGAUUAAAAUGAAAUCGACCUCAUGAAUCUGCCUGAAAGGGAUUUCAAAAUAAAAAUCAUUAACAUGCUCAUGGAGGUAUAGAAAAAUAUUCAAGAACUCAGGGAGGAAUUCUGGUUGGAGAUCCAAUCAUUAUGGAACACAGUAUCAGACAUGAAACAUACAAUGGAAAGUUUUAAAAGCAGAUUAGAUACGGUGGAGGAGUUGAUAAAUGAAAUAAAAUUUAGAGAAGAAGAAUACAAAGAAGCUGAGGCACAGAGAGAAAAAAGGAUCUCUCACAAUGAAAGAAUAUUGAGAGACCUGUGUGACCAAUCCAAAUGGAACAAUAUUUGCAUUAUAGGGGUUCCAGAAGAAGAAGAUGAGAGAAAAAGGAACAGAAAGUGUCUUUGAGGAGGUAAUUGCUGGAAACUUCCCCAAUCUGGGGAAGGAGACAGUCUCUCAGGCCAUGGAGCUUCACACAUCUCCCAACACAAGGGACCCAAGGAAGCCAACACCACCACCAACAGUAAUUCAAAUGGCAAAGAUCAAGGAUAAGGAUGGACUAUUAAAAUCAGCCAGAGAGAGAAAUAAGAUCACAUACAAAGGAAUGCCCAUCAGGCUAUCAUCAGACUUCUCAGCAGAAACCUUACAGGCCAGAAGGGAGUGGCAUGAUGUAUUUAAUGUAAUGAAGCAGAAGGGCCUUGAACCAAGAAUACUUUAUCUGGCAAGGUUAUCAUUUAAAUUUGAAGGAGGGAUUAAACAAUUUCCAGAUAAGCAAAAGCUGAGAGAAUUUACCUCCCACAAACCAUCUCUACAGUGUAUUUUGGAGGGACUGCUGUAGAUGGAAGUGUUCCUAAGGUUUAAUAGCUGUCAUCAGAGGUAAUAAAACCACAGUAAAGAAAGUAGAGCAGUUAACUACUAAACUACUAGUUUAGUAGUUAAUUUGAUUGCAAGAUUAAAUCAACUAUCCCCAAAGUCAAUCAGGGGAUACACAAAGAGUACAGAAUAUGAUACCUAAUAUACAAAGAAAGGAGGAGAAAAAAAAGAAACUUUAGACUGUGUUUGUAAUAGCAUAUUAAGUGAGUUAAGUUAGACUCUUAGAUAGUAAAGAAGUUAACCUUGAACUGUUGGUAACCUAAAGCCUGCAAUGGCAAUAAGUAUAUACCUAUUGAUAAUCACCCUAAAUGUAAAUGGACUGAAUGCACCAAUCAAAAGACAUAGAGCCAAUGAAUACAUAAAAAAACAGACCCAUCUAUAUGCUGCCUACAGAAGACUCACUUUAAACCCAAAGACAUGCACAGACUAAAUGUGAAGGGAUGGAAAAAGAUAUUUAAUGCAACGAAUAGAGAGAAAAAAUCAGGAGUUGCAGUACUUAUAUCAGACAAAAUAGACUUCAAAACAAAGAAAGUCACAAGAGACAAAGAAGGACAUUACAUAGUGAUAAAGGGGUCAAUCCAACCAGAAGAUAUAACCAUUAUAAAUAUCUAUGCAUCCAAUACAGGAGCACCUACAUACGUGAAACAAAUACUAACAGAAUUAAAAGGGGAAAUACAAUGCAAUGCAUUCAUUCUAGGGUACUUCAACACUCCACUCACUCCAAAGGACAGAUCAACCAGACAGAAAAUAAGUAAGGACACAGAGGCACUGAACAACACACUAGAACAGAUGGACCUAAUAGACAUCUACAGAACUCUACAUCCAAAAGCAACAGGAUACACAUUCUUCUCAAGUGCACAUGGAACAUUUUCAAGAAUAGAUCGUAUCCUAGGCCACACAAAGAGCCUCAGUAAAUUCAAAAAGAAAGAAAUUGUACCAACCAGUUUCUCAGACCACAAAGGUAUGAAACUAGAAAUAAAUUAUGCAAAGAAAAUAAAAAAUCCCACAAACAUGUGGAGGCUUCACAACAUGCUCCUAAAUAACCAAUGGAUCAAUGACCAAAUAAAAACAGACAUCAAGCAAUACAUGGAGACAAAUGACAACAGUAAUUCAACACUGCAAAAUCUGUGGGACACAGUGAAGGUCAUGCUAAGAGGGAAGUAUAUUGCAAUACAGACCUACCUCAGAAAAGAAGAAUAAUCCCACAUAAGCAAUCUAAACUCACAAUUUACAAAACCAGAAAAAGAAGAACAAAUGAGGCCCAAAGUCAGUAGAAAGAGGGACAUAAUAAAGAUUAGAGGAGAAAUAAAUAAAAUUAAGAAGAACAAAACAAUAGAAAGAGUCAAUGAAAGCAGGAGCUGAUUCUUCAAUAAAAUAAACAAAAUAGAUAAACCCCUAGCCAGGCUUACCAAGAGAAAAAGAGAGUCUACUCACAUAAACAGAAUCAGAAAUGAGAAAGGAAAAAUCACUACGGACACCACAGAAAUACAAAGAAUUAUUAGAGAAUACUAUGAAAAAUUAUAUACUAACAAACUGGAUAACCUAGAGGAAAUGGACACCUUUCUAGAAAGAUACAACCUUCCAAGGCUGACCCAGGAAGAAACAGAAAAUCUGAACAGACCAAUUACCAGCAACAAAAUUGAACUGGUAAUCAAAAACUACCUAAAAACAAAUUCCUGGUCCAGAUGGCUUCACCGCUGAAUUUAAUCAAACAUUUAGUGAAGACCUAAUACCCAUCCUUCUUAACGUUUUCCAAAGAGUAGAAGAAGAGGGAAUACUUCCAAACUCAUUCUACGAGGCCAGCAUCACUCCAAUACCAAAACCAGGCAAAGACACCACAAAAAAAGAAAAUUACAGACCAAUAUCCCUGAUGAACAUAGAUGCAAAAAUACUCAACAAAAUAUUAGCAAACCGAAUUCAAAAAUACAUCAAGAAGAUCAUCCAUCAUGAUCAAGUAGGAUUUAUUCCAAGGAUGCAAGGAUGGUACAACAUUCAAAAAUCCAUCAACAUCAUCCAGCAUAUCAACAAAAAGAAGAACAAAAACCACAUGAUCAUCUCCAUAGAUGAUGAAAAAGCAUUUGACAAAAUUCAACACCCAUUGAUGAUAAAAACUCUCAACAAAAUGGGUAUAGAGGACAAGUACCUCAACAUAAUAAAGGCCAUAUAUGACAAACCCACAGACAACAUUAUACUUAACAGUGAGAAGUUGAGAGCUUUUCCUUGAAGAUCAGGAACAAGACAAUGAUGCCCACUCUCCCCACUUCUAUGCAACAUAGUACUGGAGGUCCUAGCCAUGGCAAUCAGACAACACAAAGAAAUAAAAGGCAUCCAGAUUGGCAAGGAAGAAGUUAAACUGUCUCUGUUUGCAGAUGACAUGAUAUUGUACAUAAAAACCCCAAAGAAUCCACUCCAAAAUUACUAGAUCUAAUAUCUGAAUACAGCAAAGUUGCAGGAUAGAAAAUUAAUAUGCAGAAAUCUGUGGCAUUCCUAUACACUAACAAUGAACCAGCAGAGAGAGGAAUCAGGAAAACAAUUCCAUUCACAGUUGCAUCAAAAAGAAUGAAAUACCCAGGAAUAAACCUAACCAAAGAAGUGAAAGACCUAUACUCUGAAAACUACAAGAAACUGAUGAGAGAAAUUAAAGAAGAUACCAAUAAAUAGAAACACAUCCCAUGCUCAUGGAUAGGAAGAAUUAAUAUGGUCAAAAUGGCCAUCUUGCCUAAAGCAGUCUACAGAUUCAAUGCAAUUCCUAUCAAAAUUCCAACAGCAUUCUUCAAUGAACUAGAGAAAAUCAUUCUAAAAUUCAUAUGGAACCACAGAAGACCACGAAUAGCCAAAGCAAUCCUGAGAAGGAAGAAUAAAGCUGGGGGAAUUAUGCUCCCCAACUUCAAGCUCUACUACAAAGCCACAGUAAUCAAGACAAUUUGGUACCGGCACAGGAACAGACCCAUAGACCAAUGGAACAGAAUAGAGAGCCCACAUAUAAACCCAACCAUAUAUGGUCAAUUAAUAAAUGAUAAAGGGGUCAUGGACAUACAGUGGAGAAAUGACAGCCUCUUCAACAGCUGGUGUUGGCAAAACUGAAUAGCUACAUGCAAGAGAAUGAAACUGGAUUAUUGUUUAACCUGAUACAAAAAUGUAAACUCAAAAUGGAUCAAAGACCUGAAUGUAAGUCAUGAAACCAUAAAACUCCUAGAAGACAACAAAGGCAAAAAUCUCCUGCCUAUAAGCAUGAGCAACUUCUUCCUGAACACAUCUCCUCAGGCAAGGGAAACAAAAGCAAAAAUGAACUCAUGGGACUACAUCAAACUAAACAGUUUCUGUGCAGCAAAGGACACCUUCAACAGAACAAAAAGGCAUCCUACAGUAUGGGAGAAUAUAUUUGUAAAUGACAUAUCAACAAGUGGUUAACAUCCAAAAUAUAUAAAGAACUUACACGCCUCAACACCCAAAAAGCAAAUAACCCAAUUAACAAAUGGGCAGAGGAAAUGAAGAGACACUUCUCCAAAGAAGAAAUUCAGAUGGCCAACAGGCAAAUGAAAAGAUGCUCCACAUCACUAAUCACGGAAAUGCAAAUUAAAACCACAAUGAGAUAUCACCUCACACCAGUAAGAUUGGCCAGCAUUGAAAAGACUAAGAACAACAAAUGCUGGUGAGGAUGCGGAGAAAGGGGAACCCUCCUACACUGCUGGUGGGAAUGUUAGCUAGUUCAGCCAUUGUGGAAAGCAAUAUGGAGGUUCCUCAAAAAACUAAAAAUAGAAAUACCAUUUGACCCAGGAAUCCCACUCUUUGGAAUUUACCCAAAGAAUACAACUUCCCAGAUUCAAAAAGACAUAUGCACCCCUAUGUUUAUUGCAGCACUUUUUAUAAUAGCCAAGAUAUGGAAGCAACCUAAGUGUCCAUCAGUAGAUGAAUGGAUUAAGAAGAUGUGGUACAUAUUCACAAUGGAAUACUAUUCAUCCAUAAGAAAGAAACAAAUCCUGCCAUUUGCAACAACAUGGGUGGAGCUGGAGGACAUUAUGCUCAGUGAAAUAAGCCAGGCAGAGAAAGACAAAUGCCAAAUGAUUUCCCUCGUUUGUGGAGUACACAUGGUGUGGGGGAUAAUGGGGAAAACAGUGUGGCACAGAAAAGGCAAAUAGUGGAUCUGUGGCAUCCUACUACACUGAUGGACAGUGACUGCAUUGGGGUAUGUGUGGGGACUUGAUAAUAUGGGUAAAUGUAGUAAGCACAUUGUUUUUUCAUGUGAAACCUUCAUAAGAGUGUAUAUCAAUAUCUUAUUAAAAAAAGAUGUGGUACAAAUACACAAGUGGAAUAUUACUUAGCCAUAAAAAGAAAAGAAAUCCUUUCAUUUGCAACAAAAUGGAUGUAUCUAGAGGGUAUUGUGCUCAGUGAAAUAAGCCAGGCAGAGAAAGAAAAAUAGCAAAUGAUUUUACUUAUUUGUGGACUAUAAAAACAAAGCAAAACAGAAGAAAUGAAACAGCAGCAGACUCACAGACACUGAGAAGGAAUGAGUGGUUACCAAGGGGGAGGGGUUGCAGAGGGCUGGUAGGAGGGAGAAAGUGAUUAAGGGGCACAAUAAUUCCCAGUCACAGUAUAGGAGUGUCAGUAUGGGAGUGUCAGUACAGCACAGAGAAUAAUUCUGUGACAUCUUACUACAUUGAUGGACAGUGACUGCUCCAGAGGAGGAGGUGAGGACUUGGUAAUAUGGCUGAAUGUUGAACCGCUGUGUUGUGUAUCUGAAACCAUCAUAAGAUUGUAUAUCAAUGAUACUUUAA